rnacentral:rRNA from 1 species
AUGAACGCUUGCGGCGUGCCUAAUACAUGCAAGUCGCGCGAACAGACGAGGAGCUUGCUCCUCUGACGUUAGCGGCGGACGGGUGAGUAACACGUGGAUAACCUACCUAUAAGACUGGGAUAACUUCGGGAAACCGGAGCUAAUACCGGAUAAUAUAUUGAACCGCAUGGUUCAAUAGUGAAAGACGGUUUUGCUGUCACUUAUAGAUGGAUCCGCGCCGCAUUAGCUAGUUGGUAAGGUAACGGCUUACCAAGGCAACGAUGCGUAGCCGACCUGAGAGGGUGAUCGGCCACACUGGAACUGAGACACGGUCCAGACUCCUACGGGAGGCAGCAGUAGGGAAUCUUCCGCAAUGGGCGAAAGCCUGACGGAGCAACGCCGCGUGAGUGAUGAAGGUCUUCGGAUCGUAAAACUCUGUUAUUAGGUAAGAACAAAUGUGUAAGUAACUAUGCACGUCUUGACGGUACCUAAUCAGAAAGCCACGGCUAACUACGUG